rnacentral:lncRNA from 1 species
ACACUGUGGGGCUGCGUCCGGGGCACGGGCCAUGCCUGAACCUUCUUCCACCGCCGCGCCCCGGGCCCGCGCCCCGCCGGCCGCCCGCACUGGGUCCCGCGUCGCCCCCGCCACCACACCGAGCCGCCCAGUACCUCCUCCUCCUGAAGGUUGGCCUCGCUCGGGGUGUUCUCCUUCUCGGCUUUGCCGCCGUUGUUCAUCUUCCCGGUCCUUCCUCGCCGGGCCGGGCAGGGCUGGGGCGCGGGGCUGGGCGAGGGCGCGCUAGCCCACUGGAGCCUUCCCCGGGCGCCGGGGCUCCCUCGGGCGGGCGCCGCGGGCUGUGGGGCUGGAGCUGGAGCCGGGGCAGUGGCUGUCGGGCUCGGGUUGGGCUGGGGCUCCCGCGGCGAGUCUGCGACGGCGGCGGCGGGCGACUCAGGAAGUGCAAGGGAGAGACGGGGCAGGGCGCGGGCCGGGAGCGGGGCACCGAGACAAUCGGGCCCCGGGAGGGCGACCUGGAGAGGGAGGGCGGGAGCCAGGGGAGGAAGGAAGAAGGAAGGAAGGAAGGAAGCAAAGGAUGGGGCGAGGACGCGCGUCCCAGGAGCAGAGCUGGGGGUCCGUACGGAGGAACUUCAGAGGCUGGAAGCACGCUUGAAAAAGAAAGGGGGCCUGGGCUUUGCACCAGCUUCAGGAUUGCGUACUUGUUUCCUCAUCCGUGAAAUGGGAGCAGCUGAAUGUGUCUCCUCGAGUUUUCGAGAAAAAUGAGGGUCUCACUUUGUUGCUCAGGCUGAGCUCGAGCUCCUGGCCUCAAGUGAUCCUCCUGCUUUUGGCCUCCCAAACUGAUGGGAUUACAACGUGGAGCCACCGUGUUAAACUCUUAGAUUUGACUGCUACAAAGGUAUAAAUGUGGAACUCCAUAUAUCAGUGGGUUCUGCCCCACUUCUUCCUCCCAGGAAUUCUCCAUCCCAGCCUGCUGCUCCUGUCUUGCACCGGGGAACAAACAUGUAUCCUGGAUGAAAAUAAACCAACUCUUGAAACUGCAACCCAAGACAUUCAGAAGAGAUAAGGCUACAGUGAAUGUGGAAACUUUGCACGUGUUUGGAUGUAUUGAUUGCCUUAACUGGCAGCUCUUUGCACUGCCAGCUUCCCUCAAUUACAUGAGGAACCACGAGGGGGCAAUGUCUUCCCGAGCAAUAAUAGCUGAGUGGUGGUCUUAGGACCCCGUGGUGGCCCAUGAUGCUAGCACUGUGUCUUUGGCCAUUCUUGCCUGUCAUGGAGCAUACUCCACAGAAGGGCAUGGUCUUCUUGGAUCCCGGCAUGGGCCCAACAAAAAUGACAAUGUAGUCAAUAGUUCCACUCAGACCUCACUUAGGAGCAGGUGAACUAUGUUGUGUGAUAUCAGGAUGCCCGGAGAACCUCUCCUAUCCCCACCCAGGGAAGCAUGGCUUAAUUCCAAAUAAAGAAUCUGAUUUCUUUGUCUUUAAGCCAAGCCAGGACUUUGUCCAUUGUUAAAAGUCAAAAAUCUCUGGGAUAAGAAACAAAAAUAAGUUCCAGGCGGGGCACGGUGGCUCAUGCCUGUAAUCCCAGCACUUUGGGAGGCCGAGGUGAGCCCAACACCUGAUGUCAGGAGUUCAAGACCAGCCUGGCUAACAUGGUGAAACACCGUUUCUACUAAAAAUACAAAAAAUUAGCUGGGUGUGGUGGCGCACGCCUAUAAUAGCAGCUACUUGGGAGGCUGAGGCAGGAGAAUUGCUUGAACCCGGGAGGCAGAGGUUGCAGUUAGCCGAGAUUGCACCAUUGCACUCCAGCUUGGGCAACAAGAGUGAAACUCUGUCACAAAAAAAAAUAAGUUCCAGGAGAGGAUCCUUGUCUGGCUUAUUCACUGUUGUAUUCCCAGCAUCUAGACAGUGCCCAACACAUAGGAGGCGCUCAGUUAUUUUUUAAUAAAUGAGCAUUUUAAGUCUGAUGGGUUACUGAUUCUCAGGCCUGAAUGUUAUUACUGGAUUUUUCCAAGAUCCAGCAGGAAGGACUAAAUCAGUGGAGAUGUCUUAGAACAGAUAGUCACAGCAAUGGCAUUAGGCAGGGUCUUGGCAGUGUUUUUUUUUGUUUUGUUUUUUGUUUUCUGAGAGUCUCGCUCUGUGGCCCAGGUGACAUUGUUUAAGCAAAUGUCUCACCCAGGCGAGAACUGUUCAAGCAAUUCUCCUGCCUCAGCUUCCCCAGUAGCUGGGACUACAGGUGCACACAACCACACCUGGCUAAUGUUUUUGUAUUUUUAGUAGAGACAGGGUUUCCUCAUGUUGGCCAGGCUGGUUGGUAUUGAACUCCCAAACUCAGGUGAUCCACCCACCUCAGCCUCCCAAAAUGCUGGGAUUACAGGCAUGAGCCACCGGCCUGGCAGUGGUCUUUAGUCAUGAUUUUGCAGGGGGGACCCUAGAUAGAGACCUUGUGCAGAAUGGAACAACUGAUAAGGUUUCAAACAGUAAAAGAUAAAAUCCCACCAUUGAGGCCGGGCACAGUGCCUCAUGCCUGUAAUCCUAGCACUUUGGGAGGCCAAGGCGGGCAGAUCACCUGAGGUCAGGAGUUUGAGACCAGCCUGGCAUGGUGAAACCCCAUUUUUGAAAAUACAAAAAUUAGCCAGGCGUGGUGGUGGGUGCCUGUAGUCCCAGCUACUCGGGAGGCUGAGGCAGGAGAAUCGCUUGAACCCGGGAGGCAGAGAUUGCUGUGAACCAGAUCACACCACUGUACUCCAGCCUGGGCGACAGGGAGACUCCAUCUCAAAAAAAAAAAAAAAUCACACCAUUGAAUUUGACAUAUCAGACAAUAAAAUCGACACUGAUGCAGGGAUGGCUAUACUAUAUAGUCAGUGGUGAGAGUGACAUUCAGGGUGUUUUCAGAAAAACAUAUGGGGUUGGGAUAAUAUGUCAAGAAAAGGGAGAUUUCCUGCUUUUUAUCCUUUUCAUGAAGAGUAGUUUAGAGUUAUUUGAAAGAGCAAUAAUGUAUUACCAAUAAAACUCAAGGAAAAUCUGUAAACAGACUUUUGCUAUUUAUAAAACUUUGUGAUUGAAGGCAAAGAGUUUGAAUUUGUGUGGGGGAGGAAAAUGUACCUUCAAUCAGGGUAUAAAUGAUAAUUACAGCUUGUUUAUGACUUUAAAGAAAGAUUCCAAAGUAAUAUCUCCUCAGUAGCAAUAGUUCUCAGGCAUCCUGAGAAUUAUAAGACCACAAAGGGAUUUUUUUUUUGAGACGGAAUUUCGCUGUAACCAAGGGAUUUUAAAUCCUGUAAUAGUUGUGCUGAAGACCAGAAAAGUCCGCUUUCUCCCCAGCCUAACACUCUACCUACUGUAUUGCCUGACCUUCGAGGUUACCUUGAAAGGGUAAUAUUGUAUACACCUGUAGUUUUUUACUACUCACUGCUGUUUCUCUGGCAGUGUUCAUUUCGAGGCUUGCCUUAAGAAAUCCAAACCUAUAAUUAUGUCUUAAAUGUUUGCCUUUGGGAACUGCAGACAUUAAAGGUCUAUUUUGAGGCGAUUUGCAUGGCAUGGGCUUUGUACCUAUGUUAGCUUUGCAGCAGAAAGCUGCAGUAUCUACCAUGUGUGUUGUGAUUGUCUAUUAACCCUUCGGCUGAGCCAAAGAAGUUAUUGAGGCCAGAGGGGCUGUAUUUUAUUGGUUUUUGUCAUCCUUGACACCUCUCUCUCCCUUACCUCGUGCCUGCUCACCUCCAGCUCCUCUCCAUCUUCCCCUGAUUUUUUUAUUAAUUUAUCAUUGUGGCAAAAGACACAUAACAUAAAAUUUACCUUCUUAACCACUUUGGUUUUUUGGGGUUUUUUUUGAGAUGGAGUGUUGCUCUGUUGCCCAGGCUGGAGUGCAAUGGUGCCAUCUUGGCUCACCACAACCUCCACCUCCCAGGUUCAAGAGAUUCUCCUGCUUCAGCCUCCUGAGUAGCUGGAACUACAGGCGUGUGCCACCAUGUCCAGCUAAUUUUUGUAUUUUUAGUAGAGAUGAGGUUUCACUAUGUUGACCAGGCUGGGUUUUCUUUUUUCUUUUUUUUUUUCUUUUUUUUUAGUGAUGGGCCUUCACUGUGUUGCCCAGGCUGGUCUCAGACUCCUGGGUUCAAGUGAUCCUCCCACCUCAGCCUCCCAAAGUGCUGAGAUUACAGGUAUGAGCCACUGCACCCAGCCUACUUGUUUGUUUUUCCAGAUUUCGUUCUGUUGCCCAGGCUGGAGUACAGUAGCAUGAUCAUAACUCACUGCAGCCUCGAACUCCUGGGCCCAAGCAAUCUUCCUGCCUCAACUUCCCGAGCAGCUGGGACUGCAGACUCUUGCCACCACACGCAGCUAAUUUUUAAAUUUUUUUCCCAGGCUGGUCUCAAACUCCUGCCUUCAAGCAAUCCUCCUGCCUCAGCCUCCCUAAGUGCUGAGAUUACAGACAUAAACCAUUUCACCUAAGCCUUCCAUUUGAACCAUUUUUAAGUGUAGUGUUAAGUGUAUUCACAUGGUUGUGCAACAGCCCCCUGACUUUCACCUCCUAAAGAAUUCUGAGGUUCACUGGCUUCCCUCUGAUCAUGAUCAGAGGCCCACAUGGAGGAGAAUCCAGGUGUUUGGCUUACAGCCCCAGCUGAGCUCUGCAGACAACCAGUAUCAAUUUGCCAGCCCUCUGAGUGAACUAUCUUGAGAGUGGUUGCUCCAGCCCUAGUUGAGCUGCCGCAGCUGAUACCAUCUGGAAGAGAGAUGAGCUUUCUGCAGCAAACCCUGCCCAAAUUGCAAAAUUGUUAGCAAAAAAAAAAAUGAAUGCUGUUGUUUUAAGUCACCACAUUUCAGUGUGGUUUGUAAUACAGCAAUAUAUAACUGAAACAUAAUUACAUACCUAGAAGCGGGAUAAUAGAAAUCAACAGGGUGAUUCCUACUGUAAUAGAAACCUAAAACACAUGGCAGGAGCUUUGGGAUCAGGUGGAGGAUGGAAGCUGGAAGAACCUUGAGGAGUCUGUUAUUGACAAAUACUAUUAAAGAACAGUGAGUGGGGCUGGCCGUGGUGGCUCACACCUAUAAUCCCAGCACUUUGGGAGGCAGAGGUGGGCCGAUCACCUGAGGUCAGGAAUUCGAGACCAGCCUGGUCAACACGGUGAAACCCUGUCUCUACUAAAAAUACCAAAAUUAGCCAGGCGUGGUGACGCGUGCCUGUAAUCCUAGCUACUGGGGAGGCUGAGGCAGGAGAAUUGCUUGAACCCAGGAGGCGGAAGUUGCAGUGAGCCAAGAUCGCACCACUGCCCUCCAGCUUGGGUGACAGAGAGAGACUCAGUCUCAAAAUAAAAUAAAAUAAAGAACAGUGAGGAUACUGUUAUUGCUGGCUGGAGAAAAGGGGGAUUGACUUAGGUAUUGGAAGAACAAUUAGCUAAACUACUCUGCAGUUAUGUGAAAGCUAGAGAAGGUACCUAGUGAACAUGUGGAUCUGGCUAUGGAGAUUUCUGGAUAGAAUGGUGAAAGGGUGGAAUGGUUCCUUUUGCAUGCCUGUGAUAUAGUACCAGAGAAGUGCAGUGAGCUAAAAAAGAAACUGUUCCAUUUUUCAUCAGAAUUUAGAAGAAGCAAUUAAAGAAGCCAGGACUUGCAGGAUUUGAAAUAAAACUACUUUUCAUUCCUAGUUCUCCAGAGGACAAAACUCUCAAAAUAAGAAAUGGCCUAGGGGCAAAAGUCAAAUCCCAGGUACUAUCAGGAAAACAUAGUCAUAAGUAAAGUUCAAGACAACAACAGGUGCAGCAGCUCACACCUGCAAUCCCAGUGCUUUGGGAAGCCAAGGUGGGAGGAUUACUUGAGGCCAAGAGUUUGGGAUCAACUUGGGCAACAUAGCAAGACUCCUCUGCAAAAAAAAAAAAAAAAAAAAAGAAAAAAGAAAAAACAACAAUUUUGAGACAGAAUCUCGUUCUGUCACCUGGUUGGGGUGUAGUGGCAUGAUCAUGGCUCACUAAAACCUCUGUCUCCUGGGUUCAAGCAAUUCUCAUGCCUCAGCCUCCCAGGUAGCUGGGAUUACAGGUACACACCACCAUGCUUGGCUAAUUUUUGUAUUUUUAGUAAAGAUGGGGUUUCACCAUGUUAGCCAGGCUGGUCUCAAACUCCUGGCCUUAAGUGAUCUGCUCACCUUAGCCUCCCAAAGUGCUGGGAUUACAGGUGUGAGCCACCAAACCCGGCCUCUGCAAAAAAUUUAAAAAUUAGCUGAACAUAGUGGCACAUGCCUAUAAUUCCAGCUAUUUUGGAGGCUGAGGCAGGAAGAUCACUUGAGCCCAGGAGUUUGAGGGUACAGUGAAUUAUGAUCAUGCCACUGCACUACAGCUUGGGCAACAGAGCAAGAACCUGGCUCUAAAAAAAAAAAAAAAUGCCCAGGUGUGGUGGCUCAGGCCUGUAAUCCCAGCACUUUGGGAGGCUGAGGCGGGCAGAUCUCGAGGUCAGAAGAUCGAGACCAUCCUGGCUAACAUGGUGAAACCCCGUCUUUACUUAAAAAAAUACAAAAAAAUUAGCCAGGUGUGGUGGUGGGCGCCUGUAGUCCCAGCUACUCAGGAGGCUGAGGCAGGAGAAUGACAUGAACCUGGGAGGCGGAACUUGCGGUGAGCCGAGAUGGUGCCACUGCACUCCAGACUGGGGGACAGAGAGAGACUCCGUCUCGGGGGAAAAAAAAGAAGAUAAGGAUGUAGCUAGAAGACACUGGGUAGGCAGCUUCUACAAUGGACCCCAGUGAUCCUUCCCUCCCGGUAUUCAAACCCUCUGUAAUCCCUUCCUUCAUGUGGGCUGGACUUUGCAACUUGCUCUUAAGGAAUACAGUGUGGCAAAAGUGAUGGAUAGCACCUCCAAGACUAGAUUUAAAAAGAGACGAUGGCUCAUGUCUUACAUGCCCUCUCUUGCUCUCUCACUUGCUGCCUUUGACCUGCCUUAUGGAGACGCUCAUGUGGCAAGGAACGAAGGCCUCCAGCCAAGAGCCACCAAGGAACUGGUUUUCAGUCCAACAACCAGCAAGGAGCUGAAUCCUGCCAACUACUGCAUGAGUAGACCUGGAAAUAGAUCUUCCCUAAGUGGACCCUUCACGUGAAACCUAUUAUGGACUGAAUGCUAGUGUCCUUCUGAAAUUCACAUAAAAUCCUAACCUCCAUUGUGAUAGUAUUAGGUAAGGCAUUUGGGAGGUAAUUAGGUUUAGAUGAGGUCACAAGUGUGGGGCCCCCAUAAUGGGGUUGGUGCCCUUAUAAGAGGAGAAAGAGGCUGGGUGUGGUGGCUGAUGCCUGGAAUCCCAACACUUCGGGAGGCCAAGGCAGGAGGAUUGCUUGAAGCCAAGAGUUUGAGACCAGCCUGGACAACACAGUGAGACCCCCAUUUCUAUGAAUAAAUAAAUAAAUUAGCCAGGCACGUGGCUCACUCCUGUCAUCCCAACACUUUGGGAGGCCAAGGCAGGAGAUUUCCUUGAGACCAGGAGUUCAAGAUCAGCCUGGGCAACGUAGUGGGACCCUGUCUCUACAGAAAAAUUAGCCAGGCAUAUUGGUGUGAGUCUGUAGUCCCAACUACUACUCCCAAAGCUGAGGAAUAAGGAUUGUUUUAGCCUAGGAGUUCAAGGUUACAGUGAACUAUAAUUGUACCACUGUACUCCAGCCUGGGAGACAGCAAAACCCGGUUUGUGUGUGUGUGUGUGUGUGUGUGUGUGUGUGUGUGUGUGUGUGUGUGUGUCGAGAACCAAAGCUCCUUCUCUCCCUGCCAUGUGAGGACACAGUGAGAAGGUGGCUGACUGCAAGCCAGGAAGAGGGUCCUCAUGAGGAAAUGAAUUGACUGGCACCUUGAUCUUGUGGCACCUUGAUCUUGGACUUCCCAGCCUCUAUAACUGUGAGAAAUAAAUGUCUGUUGUUUUAGCCACCCAGUCUGUGGUAUUUUGUUAUGACAAGCUCAGCUGACUAAGUAAUUAAUACCAAGAAGCGGUUUGCUGCUGUAACAAAUAACUAAAAGUGUGGAAGCAGCUUUGGAACUGGGUAGUGGGUAGAGGCUGAAAGAGUUUUGUUUUUAGAGAUAGGGUCUGCCAGGUGCGGGGGCUCACGCCUGUAAUCCCAGCAUUUUGGGGGGCCGAGGCGGGUGAAUCACGAGGUCAGGAGUUCGAGACCAGCCUGGCCAACAUGGUGAAACCCUGUCUCUACUAAAAAUACCAAAAAAUUAGCUGGGCAUAGUGGUAGGCACCUGUAAUCCCAGUUACUUGGGAGGCU